AUGUGCUCCACGAGGCGGCUUCACCACCGGCGAUUCGCGGCCAUGGGGUUCCCGCCCCCCUCUGCUCGCGCGUGUCGGAGAGCAAGCGCAACGCGUGGAGCGCGUUUGCCGCUGUUCAAUCGGAUUCCGAAUUCGACCGGGGGUGGCGCUCUGCUCGCCUCCGACUGGAGUACGGCCACCGCCUCGCCGGGAGAUAUAAGCUCCAUUGGGGGCCUCGUGGUAGGCGAUCGCCUUCUUGCUUCCCAAUCUCUCCAUCCAAUCCUCCCUCCCGCUUCUCCAUCCACUCCAAGAUCGAUCACAGGAGCCCAUGGCCGCGCAGAUGCUCCGCCGGUGGCAGAGCUUCUACGGCGCCUUCGACCCCGUGGACGCCGCCAUCGAGGCCGCCGACCCGGACCAGUUUUCACGCCACGUGUUCCGGCGCGCGAGGGGGACCUGUUGGGGCGGCUCUGCAGCGCCGCCGACGACGACCAGGCGGAGCGCAUCUGCGGGAUUCUCGACGACGUCAUGGCAGAGUCUCUCGAGACGCUGAGGCUGGUUCCAUCAUCAACGCCAGAGGCGCCCGUCUCCACGGAGCUCGCCGAGUCUGUGCGCGCGCUGCGGGAGCACGACUCGGAGCGCGUCCGCCUCCUCGCGCGCGGCAUCGUGAACGCGUGGGAGGCCUCCGUCCAGGACCAGGUCGACGGCGCCGAGGUCACACCAGCCACGCCCAUAAAGAAGCUGCCGCGGCCCAAGGCGGCCGGCGGGCAGCAACAUGCCUCCGCCGAUCCUGACGCAAAGACGAAGCGACCUCCCAAGCUCAAGCGGUUGGCGGAAAUCAUCAAAAAGGCGUCAGAUCCCGCCGCCAGCUUCGUCGACGGUGACCGUGCCGGGUUCUGCUCGGACGAGAAGAUGGAAGCCGCCAAGCGCAAGCUCCGCCAGGGUUACCAGGAAGCAGAGGACGCCAAACGGCGGCGCAGGACGCAGUUGGUGCAGGCGCCCAAGAUGAUGCAGCCGGCGUCUCAGAGGCAGCCAAUCACGAGGUGCACCAGCUCCAUGGUCAAGAACACCUUCUCGGUCAGGACGCAGCUUCACAUGGCUUAG
rnacentral:rRNA from 1 species